AGGACGAACGCUGGCGGCGUGCUUAACACAUGCAAGUCGAGCGAACCUUCGGGUUAGCGGCGAACGGGUGAGUAACACGUGGGCAACCUGCCCCGAGCUCUGGGAUAACUCCGGGAAACCGGGGCUAAUACCGGAUAUGACCCGAGAAGACAUCUUCUCGGGUGGAAAGUUUUCGGCUCGGGAUGGGCCCGCGGCCUAUCAGCUUGUUGGUGGGGUAACGGCCUACCAAGGCGACGACGGGUAGCC
rnacentral:rRNA from 1 species